rnacentral:rRNA from 1 species
UACGAAGGGGGCUAGCGUUGUUCGGAAUCACUGGGCGUAAAGCGCGCGUAGGCGGAUUGUUAAGUCGGGGGUGAAAGCCCAGGGCUCAACCCUGGAAUUGCCUUCGAUACUGAGAGUCUUGAGUUCGGAAGAGGUUGGUGGAACUGCGAGUGUAGAGGUGAAAUUCGUAGAUAUUCGCAAGAACACCAGUGGCGAAGGCGGCCAACUGGUCCGAUACUGACGCUGAGGCGCGAAAGCGUGGGGAGCAAACAGG